rnacentral:rRNA from 1 species
UUGGGACUGAGACACGGCCCAAACUCCUACGGGAGGCAGCAGUGGGGAAUAUUGCACAAUGGGGGAAACCCUGAUGCAGCGACGCCGCGUGGAGGAAGAAGGUCUUCGGAUUGUAAACUCCUGUUGUUGAGGAAGAUAAUGACGGUACUCAACAAGGAAGUGACGGCUAACUACGUGCCAGCAGCCGCGGUAAAACGUAGGUCACAAGCGUUGUCCGGAAUUACUGGGUGUAAAGGGAGCGCAGGCGGGAAGACAAGUUGGAAGUGAAAUCUAUGGGCUUAACCCAUAAACUGCUUUCAAAACUGUUUUUCUUGAGUAGUGCAGAGGUAGGCGGAAUUCCCGGUGUAGCGGUGGAAUGCGUAGAUAUCGGGAGGAACACCAGUGGCGAAGGCGGCCUACUGGGCACCAACUGACGCUGAGGCUCGAAAGUGUGGGUAGCAAACAGGAUUAGAUACCCUGG